UACGGAGGGUACAAGCGUUAUCCGGAUUCACUGGGUUUAAAGGGUGCGUAGGCGGGCAGGUAAGUCAGUGGUGAAAUCUCCGGGCUUAACCCGGAAACUGCCGUUGAUACUAUCUGUCUUGAAUAUAGUGGAGGUGAGCGGAAUAUGUCAUGUAGCGGUGAAAUGCUUAGAUAUGACAUAGAACACCCAUUGCGAAGGCAGCUCGCUACACUAUCAUUGACGCUGAGGCACGAAAGCGUGGGGAUCAAACAGG
rnacentral:rRNA from 1 species